rnacentral:rRNA from 1 species
AUUUUUACAAUGAAGAGUUUGAUCCUGGCUCAGGAUGAACGCUAGCUACAGGCUUAACACAUGCAAGUCGAGGGGCAGCAUGGUCUUAGCUUGUUAAGACUGAUGGCGACCGGCGCACGGGUGAGUAACACGUAUCCAACCUGCCUUAUACUCCCGGACAGCCUUCUGAAAGGAAGAUUAAUACGGGAUGGUAUCACGGGCCAGCAUUUUCUCGUGAUUAAAGAACUUCGGUAUAAGAUGGGGAUGCGUUCCAUUAGAUAGUAGGCGGGGUAACGGCCCACCUAGUCUACGAUGGAUAGGGGUUCUGAGAGGAAGGUCCCCCACAUUGGAACUGAGACACGGUCCAAACUCCUACGGGAGGCAGCAGUGAGGAAUAUUGGUCAAUGGGCGCGAGCCUGAACCAGCCAAGUAGCGUGAAGGAUGACUGCCCUACGGGUUGUAAACUUCUUUUAUAAAGGAAUAAAGUGAGGCACGUGUGCCUUUUUGUAUGUACUUUAUGAAUAAGGAUCGGCUAACUCCGUGCCAGCAGCCGCGGUAAUACGGAGGAUCCGAGCGUUAUCCGGAUUUAUUGGGUUUAAAGGGAGCGUAGAUGGGUUGUUAAGUCAGUUGUGAAAGUUUGCGGCUCAACCGUAAAAUUGCAAUUGAUACUGGCAGCCUUGAGUACAGUUGAGGUAGGCGGAAUUCGUGGUGUAGCGGUGAAAUGCUUAGAUAUCACGAAGAACUCCGAUUGCGAAGGCAGCCUACUAAACUGCCACUGACAUUGAUGCUCGAAAGUGUGGGUAUCAAACAGGAUUAGAUACCCUGGUAGUCCACACGGUAAACGAUGAAUACUCGCUGUUUGCGAUACACUGCAAGCGGCCAAGCGAAAGCGUUAAGUAUUCCACCUGGGGAGUACGCCGGCAACGGUGAAACUCAAAGGAAUUGACGGGGGCCCGCACAAGCGGAGGAACAUGUGGUUUAAUUCGAUGAUACGCGAGGAACCUUACCCGGGCUUGAAUUGCACUCGGAUAUAGCGGAAACGUUAUAGCUAGCAAUAGCGAGUGUGAAGGUGCUGCAUGGUUGUCGUCAGCUCGUGCCGUGAGGUGUCGGCUUAAGUGCCAUAACGAGCGCAACCCUUGUCUAUAGUUACUAACAGGUCAUGCUGAGGACUCUAUGGAGACUGCCAUCGUAAGAUGUGAGGAAGGUGGGGAUGACGUCAAAUCAGCACGGCCCUUACGUCCGGGGCCACACACGUGUUACAAUGGGGGGUACAGAGGGCCGCUACCACGCAAGUGGAUGCCAAUCCCGAAAGCCUCUCUCAGUUCGGACUGGAGUCUGCAACCCGACUCCACGAAGCUGGAUUCGCUAGUAAUCGCGCAUCAGCCAUGGCGCGGUGAAUACGUUCCCGGGCCUUGUACACACCGCCCGUCAAGCCAUGGGAGCCGGGGGUACCUGAAGUGCGUAACCGCAAGGAGCGCCCUAGGGUAAAACUGGUGACUGGGGCUAAGUCGUAACAAGGUAGCCGUACCGGAAGGUGCGGCUGGAACACCUCCUUUCU